AACGAACGCUGGCGGCAGGCUUAACACAUGCAAGUCGAACGGUAGAGGGGGCAACCCCUUGAGAGUGGCGAACGGGUGAGUAAUGCAUCGGAACGUGCCCAGUCGUGGGGGAUAACGCAGCGAAAGCUGUGCUAAUACCGCAUACGAUCUCUGGAUGAAAGCGGGGGACCGAAAGGCCUCGCGCGAUCGGAGCGGCCGAUGUCAGAUUAGGUAGUUGGUGGGGUAAAGGCCCACCAAGCCGACGAUCUGUAGCUGGUCUGAGAGGACGACCAGCCACACUGGGACUGAGACACGGCCCAGACGCCUACGGGAGGCAGCAGUGGGGAAUUUUGGACAAUGGGCGAAAGCCUGAUCCAGCAAUGCCGCGUGCAGGAAGAAGGCCUUCGGGUUGUAAACUGCUUUUGUACGGAGCGAAAAGGUCCUUUCUAAUACAAGGGGCUCAUGACGGUACCGUAAGAAUAAGCACCGGCUAACUACGUGCCAGCAGCCGCCGCCG
rnacentral:rRNA from 1 species